UACGUAGGGGGCAAGCGUUGUCCGGAAUCAUUGGGCGUAAAGAGCGUGUAGGCGGCCUGAUAAGUCGGUUGUGAAAGUCAAGGGCUCAACCCUUGAAUGCCGGCCGAUACUGUCAGGCUAGAGUCCGGAAGAGGCGAGUGGAAUUCCUGGUGUAGCGGUGAAAUGCGCAGAUAUCAGGAGGAACACCCAUGGCGAAGGCAGCUCGCUGGAACGGUACUGACGCUGAGGCGCGAAAGCGUGGGGAGCAAACAGG
rnacentral:rRNA from 1 species